rnacentral:rRNA from 1 species
UAGGGAAUCUUCGGCAAUGGGGGCAACCCUGACCGAGCAACGCCGCGUGAGUGAAGAAGGUUUUCGGUUCGUAAAGCUCUGUUGUAAGAGAAGAACGUGUGUGAGAGUGGAAAGUUCACACAGUGACGGUAACUUACCAGAAAGGGACGGCUAACUACGUGCCAGCAGCCGCGGUAAUACGUAGGUCCCGAGCGUUGUCCUGAUUUAUUGGGCGUAAAGCGAGCGCAGGCGGUUUAAUAAGUCUGAAGUUAAAGGCAGUGGCUUAACCAUUGUUCGCUUUGGAAACUGUUAAACUUGAGUGCAGAAGGGGAGAGUGGAAUUCCAUGUGUAGCGGUGAAAUGCGUAGAUAUAUGGAGGAACACCGGUGGCGAAAGCGGCUCUCUGGUCUGUAACUGACGCUGAGGCUCGAAAGCGUGGGGAGCAAACAGG